CCUAAGGAACUCCUGGUAAUUGUGUACCACACUCCUAUUACUCUCCCAUAAUGGAUUGGCCCAAGCUAAAGCUUUACCUUUUAAUUGAUUAAUUAGGUAAUUAUAGCUCUGUCUGUGGGAAAAGAUCCAGGUGAGGCCUCAAAAUGAUACUCCAUUUGGUUAAUAAAUCCCCGGCAUUCUUGAAUAUUAUUAUCAAAAUGCAGGGGAGGAGAUAGGGAGAUAGUAGGUGCC